AUAUAAUUAAAGUUCCUGUAAAUAGAUUUACUAACCAUCAAACUUGCCACCUUCCUUCAUCAAGUUUUUAAAGAUGAAGUACAUUUUGUGUGCUGAAGAGAUCCCUAAGAGCUUUGGCUGGAAGUCUCAAACCUCUCGGAUGUCUGCUGUGCUUUCUUUCUCCUGCUGUGCCCUUUCCUUUAGCUUCAGUAAGGCCUUGCACGAGCAUACCCUGUGGAGUCUUGGGAAGCAUUCUAUGAUCUGGCCUGUGUCAUUGUUGAA